rnacentral:ncRNA from 2 species
GAUUUAUAGAGAAGAGGGGAGAGAUUAGGCUCUGUGAACCUCUAGCAACCCUUCGCCGCUGGCGAAAAAGGUGCUAAUACCUAACCCAAACUGACUCCGAUUUAUAUC